UUCUUCAGCUCCACGCAUCCCCGCCCCUCACACACGCCCCCUGGCUGUAAUCAAGGCUACAGGAAGCGGGGAGCAGCCGCCUGAGAAUUGGGGGGCCUGUGAGAGCGUAGGGACGCAGAAGUCCCUGCUGCUGUCCCUGCCCCUCAGACUCCCAGCUUUGGUACCAGAACGGGAAGGUGGUAGGUUGGGCAGGUGAUUCCGCCCUCACCGAGGUGCUCCCCUUGGCUGUUCAUACAGUGUCUGCUUGGGGUCGCUGGGCCUGCUGCGGCGUUUCGGAUUUCACUUCCUUUUUUCUUUACUACACGAAGCACGUUUUUUUUUCUGCCUCUCCACUCUCCCUCACCUUCGGGUACCCAAACCAAUGGAGGCGGCCCUCUUUCAGCCCGUUUGCCCUAGUGGAGAUAAGAAACCAGGCGAGCUGAGGGGCCAGAGAGAUGAGACCACAGGAAGGCCGAAUCUCUGGACUGUAGCCACCUGCCACCAGGGCACAUGAACUAGCAUUCUAGAAACCAAACAGCAAGCAUAGCAACUAACCCAACAACCAGAACGUGAACUAGCCUCAUUCAGAGGGACUCGCACAUGUUGGGGGCUUCACCACAUGCUUCCCACACAUCUACUGUGCAUAGCACUUCAUCAAGCAGAGAAGACC